rnacentral:rRNA from 1 species
UCCAGACUCCUACGGGAGGCAGCAGUGGGGAAUAUUGCACAAUGGGGGAAACCCUGAUGCAGCGACGCCGCGUGAGUGAGGAAGUAUUUCGGUAUGUAAAGCUCUAUCAGCAGGGAAGAAAAUGACGGUACCUGACUAAGAAGCCCCGGCUAACUACGUGCCAGCAGCCGCGGUAAUACGUAGGGGGCAAGCGUUAUCCGGAUUUACUGGGUGUAAAGGGAGCGUAGGCGGCUGUGUAAGCCAGAAGUGAAAGCCCGGGGCUCAACUCCGGGACUGCUUUUGGAACUACAUGGCUUGAUUGGAGGAGAGGCAAGUGGAAUUCCUAGUGUAGCGGUGAAAUGCGUAGAUAUUGGGAGGAACACCAGUGGCGAAGGCGGCUUGCUGGACUGUAAAUGACGCUGAGGCUCGAAAGCGUAGGGAGCAAACAGGAUUAGAUACCCUAGUA